rnacentral:rRNA from 1 species
AACGCACCUUGCGCUCCUUGGUAUUCCGAGGAGCAUGCCUGUUUGAGUGUCAUUAAAUUCUCAACUCCCUUUGAUUUCUUCAAAGGCGAGCUUGGAUCUUGGAGGCUUUGCCGGCUGUCAAGUCGGCUCCUCUGAAAAGCAUUGGUAAAGACGUAUGCAGGCCUCUGUAAUGGAGGUAUGUGCUGGCCUCUGUAAUGGAGGUAUAUGCUGGCCUCUGUAAUGGAGGUUAGUAUCAGUGUCGGCCUUUCGGUGUGAUAAUGAUCACCGUGGCUAGCUGCCUAUGAAUGUCUAUGCCUUACUUGCUCCUUUUUCCAUUGACUUGGAAAAAAGCACUUGACCAUUUUGACCUCAAAUCAGGUAGGACUACCCGCUGAACUUAA